GGGGAAGGGCUAGGGUAGGACUCAGGUAAUGCAGGCUGGAUUGUCAUCCUAGACCAGGGAUUCUCCAGGGAGAGGCUGGAAGAGGAUAAGGGAAGAAGAAGGUCAGUGACAGGUAUGGGGGAGAGAGCCCACCUGCUUGUUGAAAGGAGGGUACUUCACCCAGUGGUGGCCUCCUUUAUCACGUCAUCUUGGUUCUGAAUUUGAGUCUUUGCCAGGUCACAAUCCCACCUAGAAUUUUAGAAAUUCUAUGUCUUCCAUCAAGUCCAGCUUUUGUGUCCUUCACAUCCUACCAGCCCAACAGCUCUGUGCAGGCAGCUGAACCCACCAGCACCCUGGAUUGGACCCAGGUCUGCUAGCUGCCUCUUGAGGAGAGAUGCUGACCCGAGGGUGCCAGGCUGGAAGUACCAGGAAUUUGUACCCCCAGGGAAAACCUUGACCACUGGGAGACUGCCAGCAGAGAAGAGAGAUAUUUCAAGUUGUCUGCACAGUGUCGUGUGUCUCCUCUCCUAAACACAGACUCGGAUUUCUGGAUAUUGAAUGGACCUGGUUGGAGGCCAGAAUGCUUGGAGUAUCUGGGCCAGCUCAUGCCAAACUCUUGGCAGGAAACCAGAUUGAGUACUCCAGGCCCCAGUGAUAGAACCCAGCAUCCCAAUCUAUUUUAUGACCCUGGCUUCUCAUCAAGCAAAGCCUCGUGUGUAAAAUGAAAGUAAUAGCAGUGCUGUUGGGAUGAACACACAGAUGCAGGUGCUGUUGGCAGUGGAGGAGGCUUAUGCAUGUGUGGAGCAGCAGAAGGUGUAUGGAAGAUCUCUGGACUUUUCACUCAGUAUAAUCUUCCCAGAAAAGCUAAUACACUGACUGCACUAUAUUAGAAGACAGAAGAAAAUGCAUUUGGGAGAAGACUUUUACAGAGGAGAGCUCUUUCAUUUAUAUGAUCCAGUCUUCAGAGAUAUUGGUUGUGUGAGUGUAUCCUAAAGUUGCCUGAAUGUAAGAAUUAGCUAGAAUACUUAUUUAAAAUACAAACCCAAGACCUCUUCCCUUGAGAGUGUAGUUUGGUUAAUCUGAGGUUUUAUCCAAGUCAAUUGUAAAAUUUAGUGAUGAUGGCUAAUGUUAACUGGGUGCUUACUAUGUACCCAGCAUGGUUCCAAGUCCUUCAUAUAUACAAGCUAGAUCAUUACCACACUUUUAAGGGGCAGUUACUAAAACCACCUCCAUAUUAGAGAUGAGAAGCUAAGCAGAAAGAGGCUAAGGUCACAGAACUAGUAAGUAAAGAAACGAGUACAUGUACUGUGAAGCUAUGGGCUUCAGAGCCCAGGCUUUUAAUCAUUUCAGUUUCCUGCUUCACCUUAUACACAGCUGCAUUAUGUGUAGAUCAAAGGCUUUAUUCACAUCACCAAAGCAGAAAGGGUGGUUUUCCGUUUUGUACAUUUGACACUGUGCUUCAGAAAGUGGUGCCAUUUUAAAAUGUAUAUUUAAAAAGCAUAAGAGGAGAAAAGGUGUUUUUAAAAAAAAACAAGCAAAAAACCCAGAACAUCAGCUAUUAUAGAGAAAGCUUCAAGUGGCCUCCUACUCAUGUAAUUGGGGUUCCUGAAGGCAAAGAGAGGGAUAAUAAGUAUUUGAUGAAGUAAUGGCCAGUUUUUUGCCCCAAAUUGAGGAAAACUGUGAACCCACACAGCUGUGAAGCUCAAGAAACUACAAAUGUAUGAAGCAUGAAGAAAUGUAAACAAAAGCUUAUUAUAAUAAAAUUGCUUAAAACCAGUGGUAAAGAAGAAAAAAUUGAAAGUUGCCAAAGGAAUAAAAAGACAUGCCAUAUGCUAAGCAACAAAGAUAAGAAUGUCAGAAGACUUCUCACUGAAAAGAAUGCAAGAAAGAAAGAAACAGUAGAAUGGUAUCUUUAAAGUAUUGAAGGAAAAAGAGCUGUCAGUUUAGACUUUUUAAAAGAUUUUAUUUCUUUAUUUGAAAGGCAGAGUUGCAGAAGCAGAGGGGGAGAGAGAGAGAGAGACGUGGGGAGAGAGAGAACGUCCAUCUGCUGGUUCACUACCCAAAUGGCUGCCAACAGCCAGGGUUGAGCCAGACCUAAGCCAGGAGUCAGGGGCUUCAUCCAGGUUCUCUCACUUUGGUGGGAGUAUUUGGGCCAUCUUUGCUGCUCCCCCAGACAUGUUAGCAAGGAGCUGGAUUGAAAGUGGAGCAGCUAGAACUCAAAUUGGCACCCAUGUGGGAUGCCAGCACUGCAGGCAGUUGUUUUACCUGCUAAGUCACAGUGCCAGCCCCAAUUUAGAUUUCUGUAUCCAGUGAAAAUGUGUCAAAAAAGAAGGCAAGGGUCCUGUGCUGUGGUGUGUUUGGCUAAGCCUCUACCUGUGGCACUGGCAUCCCUUCAAGUCCCUGCUGCUCUUCUUCUGAUCCAGCUCUCUGCUUGUGGCCUGGGACAGCAGUGGAAGAUGGCCCAAGUGCUUGGGCCCCUGCACCCUCGUGGGAGACCCAGAAGAAGCUCCAGGCUCCUGGCUUUGGAUCAGCCCAGCUUCAGCCAUGGCAGUCAUUUGGGGAGUGAAUCACUGGAUGGGAAUUCUCUCUCUCUCUCUCUCUCUCUCUAACUCUGCCUUUCAAAGAAAUCUUAAAUUUUUUUUUUUUAAAAGAAGAUUCAAGUUCAGAAACCAAAAGCUACUUUUUAGUGGUAGGCCAUGGCUGGGUCCUUUCACAAGUCAGUUGCUUUCUCCUUUGAGGAAUGACUUAGGAUCAACAUUACUAAAGCUAGGAAAAUGAGAUUUGUGAUAGCUAUAAUAUAUCCUUUUAUAGUCAAGUCAUUAUUGCUAGAUCUAUUACUAUGUCCAUGUGGGAGGUAAAUCAGUGCUUGUGGAUCUACAAUAAUAUAAGAAACACAGGAAUCAACACUUUCAUCUCUGGAAACAUUUGCCGUGCCCUUCAUUUCUUUGAGUAUAUUCAGAUAUCUCUCUGAUACCAUUUUCUUCUGCUGGAAGGAUUCCUUUAAUAUUUCUUGCAGUGCAGAUCUGAUGAUGAUUAAUUCAUUCAGCUUUGGUAUAUCUGGAAAAAGUAUUUUUCAUUUUUUAAAAGAUCGUAUUUAUUUGAGGGGUAGAGUUACAGACUGAGGGAAAGGCAGAGAAAAAUGUGGGGAGCAGGGCCUGUCUCCCGCAACAUGGCGAAGUGGGUGCUGGGACUGCCGAGACUAGACUAGACCACUGAGACUAUUAAGACUAACUAUGCAUCUGAUCUCCCAUCAUAUGGCGCUGAGAGAGAGUAAACAAAUCUCACACAGCUGCCUUGUCAAUUAGCUGGUUCCUGGCCCAACCCCUUAAAAGGGGGAGAGAGACAACAUGCGCGGCCGCGCCCCCCUGGAGAGUUGGUCGGAGAGCUUGCCGGUGCCGCUCCUCCGACAGCAAUGGUCAGAGGUGGGCCAAUCUGAAGCCAGGAGCCAGGAGCUUCUUCCAGGUCUCUCCUGUGGGCUCCCCCGUUUUCCCAGGUGUAUUAGCAGGGAGCUGGAUCAGAAGUGGGGCAGCUGGAACUUCAACCAGGGCCCUUAGGGGAUACUAGCACUGCAGGCAGUAUUUUAACCCACUGUGCCAGAGCUCCAGUCUUUCCUUUCUUAUUUGAGUGAAUUCCAGCUUUUUGACAUUCUUGAGAGGAGGCAAAUAUCACUGAAUAGACACUGGCAAAGAGGCAUUUUGGAUGCAAGUCAACUAUUUUCACAAGCUCAGUUUCAUUCUUCUUCAUCAACAUCCUUUGCAUAGCCUGGGUGCUUCCAAUUACUUCCAUCUGACAUUGCCCCCCUGUAGCAGUGACUCACACAUUUGUUGGAGCAUGAUUUGUCAGUAAUACAGUGAGUGUAAACAUGACAACAAGAGGGAAUCAGUGUUCCCAGCCAACAUUUCUCUAAUAACAGUCUGAGGAAUAUAUUUAAUUGGUCAGAUAUAUUUAAUUGGCUUCUUUGGUAAUCUAUCUUCUAUGCUGACUAUUAAUAUUAUAGACAUACUUAACAUCUUUUGGGCACUUCAAAAUGUUAAUGAAAAAUGAAAUUUAAAAUGAGUUCAUUUUGGAGUAAAACAAUUUUGAAAUCUAUGCAGACUAUUUUCAAAAUAUGUAUUUUCCACAUAGUCUGAAAAGGAAAUUUUUUACAUAAAAAAUUGCACCAAAAUAAGCUCUUCCUUUUAGUUGUGUUUUUUCCAUUAACGUUUAAAAUGGCCCCAUAUUAAAAGGCAGAGAAAAGAAAGCCCUAAAAAAUGCAACUGGAGGGCUUCUGGUCCAUAAAACAUCUGAGUAGUACAGUAGCAUAACCUGAGAGCAGCCCAUUUAUUAGCCCAGAUUUUCAAACAUCUUUUCCUGUUUAUAACAUCAUCAUAUCAAAGGAUCCUGCACCAAAUUGCAAUACAGUCCCUAUUAAUACCCAUCUGAAGCUUGUCUAUAUGGAUCAACAAAAUCAUCCACUGUGAACAAUUUGAACAUAUAAUCACAUUGUAUACAACAAGGAAUCCCUUUUUCAUAUCUAAACUCACCCCAGUGAUUAGGUAGUUGGGCCAUGUUAUAUGUAAAUAUUGUAAGCUAAGAGACUACGGGAAAAUCAGUAAACAGCACUAGAAGUAUCAAUUUUCAUUCUCCCAUGUCCAGCCUCAUGAACCUUAAAGUCAGUUCCUUAUGCCUUCAUGCCUUUGCAUCCCUCCAACUUGGUAUACUACAUUAAAACUGUAAAUAGCUAAUAUCUUUAUAUUCAACCUUCCCAGCUCUUUCAGAGUAUGUCAUUUUAUUUUUUAACUUUUAUUUAAUAAAUAUAAAUUUCUAAAGUACAACUUUUGGAUUAUAGUGGCUUUUCCCCCCUCAUAACCUUCCACCCACCCACAACCAUCCCAUCUCCCUCUCCCUCUCCCCUUCCAUUCACAUCAAGAUUCAUUUUCAAUUAUCUUUAUAUAUAGAAGAUCAAUUUAGUAUAUACUAAGUAAAGAUUUCAACAGUUUGCACCCACACAGAAACACAAAGUAUAAAGGACUGUGUGAGUACUAGUUAUACCGUUAAUUCACAUUGUACAACACAUUAAGGACAGAGAUCCUACAUGAGGAGUAAGUGCACAGUGAUUCCUGUUGUUGACUUAACAAUUGACACUCUUAUUUAUGGCAUCAGUAAUCACCUGAGGCUCUUGUCAUGGGUUGCUAAGGCUAUGGAAGCCUCUUGAGUUCGCCAACUCCAAUCUUAUUUAGACAAGGUCAUAGUCAAAGUGGAAGUUCUCUCCUCCUUUCAGAGAAAGGUCCCUCCUUCUUUGAUGGCCCGUUCUUUCUGCUGGGAUCUCACUCACAGAGAUCUUUCAUUUAGGCCAAUUUUUUUUGCCAGAUAUCUUGGCUUUCCAUGCCUGAAAUAGAGUAUGUCAUUUUAAAUACCACUCUACUGGGGCCGGUGCGUGGCGCAGCAGGUUAAUCCUCCAGCAUCCCAUAUGGGUGCCGGUCCUAGUCCCGCCUGCCCCUCUUCCAAUCCAGCUCUCUGCUAUGGCCUGGGAAAACAGCUGAAGUUGGCCCAAGUGCUUGGGCCCCUGAACCCACAUGGGAGACUGGGAAGAAGCACCUGGCUCCUGGCUUCAGAUCAGCACAGCUCCAGCCAUUGCGGCCAUUUUGGGGAGU